rnacentral:rRNA from 1 species
AUGUUUAACACAAUCAUUGAAAGCCUAGAUCUGCGUGAGAUAGAGCUUUCGGGCCGAAAGUUUACCUGGGCCAACGCCUUGCCAAAUCCCACGUUUGAAAAGCUGGAUCGAGUCCUGGCUAGCGUCGAAUGGGAGCAGAAAUUCUCAUAUGUUACAGUCCAGGCGCUUACUCGUGGUAUUUCUGAUCACACGCCAUUAUUCCUUGACUCUGGGGAGGCCACCCACUUGGGAAAUAAGAAUGUUUUUUCUUUCCAGCUUGCUUGGUUUGAGAGAGAAGGUUUCUUGGAUCUCGUAGCCAGAGAAUGGGCUAAGGAUGCAGGAGGUCGGUCUGCGCUCGAGCGCUGGCAGAAUAAAAUUAGGCACUUGAGAAGUUUCCUACGUGGGUGGGCUAAGCAUCUCAGUGGGAUUUAUAAGGUUGAAAAGGAACAGCUCCUUACGCUUAUUCAGUCCCUUGAUGUAAAGGCCGAAACCAUGAUACUGCCAGCCUCGGAGCUUCAUGCCAAGCUUGAUGCGGAAAUGCGGCUGAAAGAGCUCCUUCGCGAGGAAGAACUAAAAUGGGCGCUUCGGGCUAAGGUCAGUAGAGUCGUCCAGGGGGGCGCGAACACACAAUUUUUUCACCUGAUCACCAAUGGUGAGCAUAGAAAGAAGAGGAUCUUUUAG